CCCUGAAGCGACUGCGGACGA
rnacentral:rRNA from 1 species